rnacentral:rRNA from 1 species
UACGGGGGGGGCAAGCGUUGUUCGGAAUUACUGGGCGUAAAGGGCUCGCAGGCGGCCAACUAAGUCGGACGUGAAAUCCCCAGGCUCAACUUGGGAACUGCGUCCGAUACUGGAUGGCUUGAAUUCGGGAGAGGGAUGCAGAAUUCCAGGUGUAGCGGUGAAAUGCGUAGAUAUCUGGAGGAAUACCGGUGGCGAAGGCGGCAUCCUGGACCGACAUUGACGCUGAUGAGCGAAAGCCAGGGGAGCAAACGGG